rnacentral:rRNA from 1 species
UCCGUCGAGGGACAGUGCUUCGGCAUUGGCCAACGAUAAAGUUGAUACGCUUAUAAUUAGCGCAGACUUCGAGUGCUGGCAAUUUUGACAAACUUGGCCUCAAAUCAAGGUAGGACUACCCACUGAACUUAAGCAUAUCAAUAAGUGGAGGAAAAGAAACUAACAAGGAUUCCCCUAGUAACGGCGAGUGAAGCGGGAAGAGCUCAAAUUUAAAAUCUGGCAGUCUACGAUUGUCCGAAUUGUAAUCUCGAGAAGUGUUUUCCGCGUUGGCCUGUGCACAAGUCCCUUGGAACAGGGCGUCAUAGAGGGUGAGAAUCCCGUCCUUGGCACAGAUACCCAAUGCUUUGUGAUACACUCUCAAUGAGUCGAGUUGUUUGGGAAUGCAGCUCAAAAUGGGAGGUAAAUUCCUUCUAAAGCUAAAUACUGGCGAGAGACCGAUAGCGAACAAGUACCGUGAGGGAAAGAUGAAAAGCACUUUGGAAAGAGAGUCAAACAGUACGUGAAAUUGUUGAAAGGGAAACGAUUGAAGUCAGUCGUGCCUGCCUAGAUUCAGCCUUCUGGUGUAUUUCUAGGUCGGCAGGUCAGCAUCAGUUUGGGAGGGUUAACAAGGGGAUUAGGAAUGUGGCAACCUCGGUUGUGUUAUAGCCUAGUUUCGUAUUGAUCUUGCUGGACUGAGGAACGCAGUGCGCCCGCAAGGGUAGGUCUUCGGACAC